rnacentral:rRNA from 1 species
GAGUUUGAUCGUGGCUCAGAACGAACGCUGGCGGCAGGCUUAACACAUGCAAGUCGAGCGCCCCGCAAGGGGAGGCGGCGAGACGGGUGAGUAACGCGUGGGAAUCUACCCAAUACUACGGAAUAGCUCCGGGAAACUAGGAAUUAAUACCGUAUGUGCCCUACGGGGAAAGAUUUAUCGGUAUUGGAUGAGCCCGCGUUGGAUUAGCUAGUCGGUGGGGUAAUGGCCUACCAAGGCGACGAUCCAUAGCUGGUCUGAGAGGAUGAUCAGCCACACUGGGACUGAGACACGGCCCAGACUCCUACGGGAGGCA